rnacentral:rRNA from 1 species
CACGUAGGGGGCGAGCGUUGUCCGGAUUUAUUGGGCGUAAAGAGCUCGUAGGCGGUUUCGUUAGUCGGGUGUGAAAACCCCAGGCUCAACCUGGGGACGCCACCCGAUACUGCGAUGACUAGAGUCCGGUAGGGGAGUGUGGAAUUCCUGGUGUAGCGGUGAAAUGCGCAGAUAUCAGGAAGAACACCCGUGGCUAAGGCGGCUCUCUAGUACGGUACUGACGCUGAGACGCGAAAGCGUGGGGAGCGAACAGG